rnacentral:rRNA from 1 species
GCCUACGGGGGGCAGCAGUAGGGAAUCUUUCACAAUGGGCGAAAGCCUGAUGGAGCAACGCCGCGUGGGUGAAGAAGGUCUUCGGAUCGUAAAACCCUGUUGUUAGAGAAGAAAGUGCGUGAGAGUAACUGUUCACGUUUCGACGGUAUCUAACCAGAAAGCCACGGCUAACUACGUGCCAGCAGCCGCGGUAAUACGUAGGUGGCAAGCGUUAUCCGGAUUUAUUGGGCGUAAAGGGAACGCAGGCGGUCUUUUAAGUCUGAUGUGAAAGUAUUGGGUUUAAAGGGAGUAGUGUAUUGGAAAAU